UUUUUUUUAGUUUUUUAAAAUUAUUAUUAUUUUGAGACAGAGUCUUGCUCUUUCGCCCAGGCUGGAGUGCAGUGGCGCCAUCUCGGCUCACUGCAAGCUCCACCUCCCGGGUUCACGCCAUUCUCUUGCCUCAGCCUCCCAAGAGCUGGAACUACAGGUGCCCACCACUACGCCAAGCUAAUUUUUUGUAUUUUUGGUAGAGACGGGGUUUCACCGUGUUAGCCAGGAUGGUCUCAAUCUCCUGACCUCGUGAUCCACCCGCUUCGGCCUCCCAAAGUGCUAGGAUUACAGGCACGAGCCACUGCGCCUGGCCAACCCUCUUUUUUUUAAAUGUACACAUUUACAACUGUGCAUUUCCCUUCUAGGCACUGCUUUAACUGCAUGCACAUUUUGGUACAUUGUGUUUUUAUUUUCAUUCAUCCCAAAUUAUGCUUUAAUUUCUUUUGAUGUAUUGUUUUACUUACUGUUUAUUUAAAGUGUGUUGACAUAUUUGUGAAUUUCCCAAAUUUCUUUCAGUUACUGAUGUUUAGUUUCAUUCCAUUUUGGUCAGAGAACAUAUACUUUAUGUUUUCAACCCUUUUAGUUUUAUUGAGACUUGUUUUAUGCUGUAAAAUAUCAUCUAUACUGGAGACUGCUCCAAAGUACUUAAAAAGAGUUUGUAUUGUUCUGUUGUAGGGUAGUGAUAUAGAUAUCCAUGGGGUUUAGUUUACUUACAGUGUUUUUCAAGUUUUCUGUUUCCUUGCUGAUAUACUGUCUAGUUGUUCUAUCAACUAUGGAAAGUAAGGUAAUGAUAUAUCCAACUAUUAUUGUUACCUAAGAGAAAAGCUCUAAAAUACAUGAAAUAGUUCUCUCUUCAAGUUUGUCAGUUUCUGUUCAUGCAUUUUGGAGCUGUUCUUUUAGGUACAUGUAUGCAUAUAAUUAUUAUAUAUUCUUAUUGAAUAACAUUUUUUCAUUAUAAAAUGCCCUUCUUUGUCUUUAGUAAUAAUUUUUGUUUUAAAAUCUAUCUCACCACAUAUCAGUUAUAGUAACUCCAUCUCUGUUUUUAUUAUUGUUUACAUAGUGUAUCUUUUCCUGUUCUUGAUCAUUCAAUCUAUUUAUGUCCUUGAAUCUGAAGUGUGUCUUUUGUAGACAGUGUAUAGUUGGGCCAUUAAAAACAUCUUUCUAGCUUGUAGACAGCUGCUUUAUUAAAAAAAAAAAAAGAAAGAAGGAAAAAAAUUUUAAAUAAAAAUAUCUUUUUUCCAAUCUCUGCUUUUUUAUUAGAAUAUGUAGCUUAUUUAUAUUUAAUGUAAUUAAUGAUAAAUUAGGAUUAACAUCUGCCAUUUUACUGUUUGUUUUCUACCUUUUUAUUCUUUUGUUUCUACAUUUCUCCAUUACUGGCUUCCUUUGUGUUAAAUAGAUAUUUUCUUAUACAGUAUUUUAAUUCUCUCAUUUCUUUUACUAUAUUUUUGAGUUUUCUUUCUUAGUGGUUACCUUGGCAAUUACCACUAAUACCUUACUUAAUAACAAUGUUAUCUAAAUCAAAUGAUAUUAUUUAACUCCAAUAGUCUACAAAACUUUGUUCCUAUAUAGCUUUUUUUUACCCUUCCUGUAUGCCAUUAUCAUCACAAAUUACAUCUUUAUACAUUAUAUGCUUGUCAACAAGGAUUUAUAAUUAUUGCUUUAUGCAGCUGUCUCUUAAAACAGAUAGGAGAAGGAAAUGAAUUACAAGCAAAAAAUACACUUAUACUAUUUAUUUUUAAUAUUCAUCUGUAUGUAGUUUAUCUUUAUUAUUUCGUUUAUUUCUUCAUGUAGACCUGAGUUACUGCUUACUCUCCUUUAAGUCCAGCCUAAUGGGCUCCUUUUAGUAUUUCGUGUAGGAUAGGUAUCCUAGUGACAAGUCCUCUCAGCUUUUGUUUGUUUAGAAAUGGCUUAAUUUCUCUUUCAUUUUUGAAAGAUGGUUUUGUGGAUAUAGAAUUCUUGGUUGGCAGCUAUUUUCUUUCAGUGCUUUGAAUAUGCCAUACCACUGCCUUCUGGCCUCCAUGCUUUCUAAUGAGAAACUGUUAAUCUUAUUGAGGAUCCAUUAUACAGGUCAAGUCCCUUCUCUCUCUCUGCUUUUAAGAUUCUUUGUCUGUGGCUUUCAACAGUUUGAAUAUAAUGUGACUCAGUGUGGAUCUCUCUCAGUUUGUCAUACUUGGAGUUUAUUGAUCUUUUUAAAUGUAUAUAUUAGUGUUUUUCAUCAAGUUUAGGGAGCUUUGGCCAUUAUUUCAUCAAGUAAUCUUUCUGAAACUUUCUCUCACCUCUCCUUUUGGGAUUCCAUUAUGCAUAUGUUGAUAUAUUUAAUAGUGUCCCACAAGUCUCUAAUCAUUUUUCUGCCUGUUUUUUCUUUCUGUUCCUCAGACUGGAUAAUCUCAACUGACCUAUCUUCAAGUUUGUUGAUUAUUUUUAUCCUGCCUGAUCAAAUGUGCUAUUGGGUGCCUCUGGUUUAUUUUUCAGUUCACUUAUUCUAGCUUUCAACUCCAGAAUUACUAUUUUUUAAAUAAUUUUGACCCAUUUUUAUUCUCUAUUUGGUUAAACAUAGUUAUCUUUUGACAUGGUUUGGCUCUGUGCCCCAACCCAAAUCACAUCUCGAAUUGUAAUCCCCAAGUUUCAAGGAAGGGACCUUGUGGGAGGUGAUUGGAUCAUGGGGCGGUUCCCCCCAUGCUGUUCUCAUGAUAGUGAGAAAGUCCUCAUGAGAUCUGAUGGUUUUAUAAGUGUGUGAUGGUUCCUCCAUUGCUCUGUCUCUCCCUCACUCUCCUGCUGCCCUGUGAAGAAGGUGCCUGCUUCCCCUUCUGCCAUGAUUCUAAGUUUCCUGAGGCCUCCCCAGCCAUGUGGAAUUGUGAGUCAAUAAAACCUCCUUUGUUUGUAAAUUACCCAGUCUCAAGUUGUAUCUUUAUAGCACUGUGAAAAUGGACAAAUACAUCAUUCUUUGCUUCAGUUCUUCAGACAUAGUUUCCUUUAACUCUUUGAACAUAUGUUUAAAUAGCUAAUUUUACUCUCUGUCUAGUAAGCACAACAUUUGGGCCUCUUAGGGCCAACUUCUAUCAAUUGCUUUCCGUGUGUGUGUAUGGGACAUAAUUUUAUGUUUCUUUGCAUGUCUCACAAUUUUAUGUUGAAAUUUUGACAUUUAAAAAAAUAUAAUAUUACAAGUCUGAAAAUCAUAUUCUUCCCUGCUGAAUUGUGUUGUUGCUCCUUGCUUUUAAAUGUUGUUUUUAUUUAUUUCAUGGCUUUUCUGAACUAAUUCUAUAAAGUAUGUAUUGUUUAUUAUAUGUGGUCAUGGGAGUUAUCAAUUAGCUUAGUGAUUGGACAUCUAAUGAUUGAACAGAGAUUUCUUUAAAUGCUGGAACCAAUAAACCUCUAAAUCUUUGCCAUGGGUUACUAUAUACAUGUUGGAUCAUACCUUUAACACUCCACCAGGCAGUUCACAAUGCUGUUUUAGCCUUUACUUUCUGCUUGUGCAGAACCUUAAGGUCACCAAGAAGUGAGAGCUCAGGCCUCCUCAGCUCUUUCUUCAGAAUGCCCACAGGCCUACAUAUGCCCCUGACCUUCCAAAUUCUCAGGAAUAUGUCAGAGCAUUUCAAAGCUCCUAUGGACAUCUUAUUCCACAGCUUUUCCCUUUAAUCUUCUUGGUUAGUCUAUUGUUUGCACUAUCAUCCAUCUCAUGCAGCCUGAUAGUUAAAAGACGUGCCUAAAAUUAUUUUCAAUAAAUGCCUCUUAACCCCUGGGAGAGACUUUUUACACUUGGCAAGUUCAAACCACAUCAAGUAAAAAUGUACCUUUUCAGUGGAGCCUUCUAAGGAUGGAUCAAACAAUGUCAGUUCUUUGGGACUGAGGCUUUGAAUGAGCUCCAGCUCUGUUCUGAUCCUUUAAUACUGGAAUGCAGUUGUUAUUUUUCUAGGCUAUUGCUGAGCUGAAGAGUGGGAGAUGGGCCUAAGGAGUUUACUGGAGGUUAUACUCCAGUCAAAGAAGAUGGAAACCAAGAAAGGACACAUUUUGGAGAUUAGCACUGGCUCCAGGAACCCAGUGAACAGAAGACUCAGGCUGAAGGCUUGUGCAUUCAGCCCAGAGAAAAUCCACUUAAAUUCAGAACAAUUAAGGACUCUGGGGAAGAAGGACUUCACAUGGUAGUGUGAUUGGAAGGCAGAUAAAUUUUAGGACACAAUGGAAGUUCCUAAGAUUUUUUAUCCUUUUCCAAUAGGAAGGAUAAAAAAAUCAUCUAAAACUAGAGGAAAAAUCAUCUAAAACAAGGUAUAAAGAAAUGGCUCACGUGUGACCCUUAUUUUACUGUGACAUGGAGCAUUUGAUGAAGGAUGUGGGAAGGGAGCCUGCUUAACUAUGAAGUGAGUAGCAUCGCCCCAGGAGCACCAUGACAGAUGCACAGGACAUGGAGGGAAGGAAAUGGCAUCCUGGCACAGCCCUGGCUCUACAUUGAGCAAUGUAGACAAAAUCAUAAAGGCUGCUCUAGUUUUCUACUUUUAGAAUCAACCUACAGACAUGUAAGACUUAAUUGUAGUUGUAGAAUAAAAGAUAAAAGAUUAUUGGCUUUCAUAACAAUAAAGUCCUAACAAUGAUUCACAGUUAUUCCAUGAAUAAGGGUAGGGGAAAAGAGGGAGGAAUGUAAGGCAUUUUAUAUGGAGCAAGGGAGGCAAAAGACGUUGACAGAGGCUUAUGGAACAACACACACACGCACACAAAUAGAAGGAAUAUAUUGCUUAAAAUGACAAAAAUAGCCAACAUAGGCUGGGUGCGGUGGCUCAUGCCUGUAAUCCCAGCACUUUGGGAGGCUGAGGCGGACGGAUCACUUGAAGCCAGGAGUUCAAGACCAGCCUGGCCAACAUGGUGAAACCCCGUCUCUACUAAAAAUACAAAAAUUGACUGGGCGCAGUGGUGUGCAUCUGUAGUUCCAACUACUUGGGAGGCUGAGGCAGGAGAAUCACUUGAAUCCGGGAGGCGGAGGUUGCAGUGAGCCGAGAUCACGCCACUGCAUCCUAGCCUGGGUGACAGAGUGAGACCGUCUGAAAAAGAAAAAAGCCAACAUAGGAAUUUUUAAAAUAAUAUAUAAUUACCAAAAAUUGGGGAAAAUAGAGACAGGGAAGGCAGUUCUAUAAGCGAGAUAAAUCUUUAUCUUUUGUAUCAGAAAGUCAAUAAAUAUUGUCUGAAUUUG
rnacentral:lncRNA from 1 species